GGGGAUUUAGCUCAGGGGUAGAGCGCUUGCCUAGCAAGCGCAAGGCCCUGGGUUCGAUCCCCAGCUCCG
rnacentral:tRNA from 1 species